UCCAGAGGUCUCGAGCGUUAUGCGGAAUCACUGGGCUUAAAGCGUGUGUAGGCGGACUUCUAAGUGCCUUGUGAAAUCCCACGGCUCAACCGUGGAACUGCUGGGCAUACUGGGAGUCUUGAGCCACCUAGGGGCGAGCGGAACAAAUGGUGGAGCGGUGAAAUGCGUAGAUAUCAUUUGGAACGCCAACGGAGAAAUCAGCUCGCUGGGGGUGUGCUGACGCUGAGACACGAAAGCCAGGGGAGCGAACGGG
rnacentral:rRNA from 1 species